rnacentral:rRNA from 1 species
GAAGAGCUCAAAUUUAAAAUCUGGCGGCCUUCUGGACGUCCGAGUUGUAGUCUGGAGAAGUGUUAUCCGCGUCGGACCGUGUACAAGUCUCCUGGAACGGAGCGUCAUAGAGGGUGAGAAUCCCGUCCAUGACACGGACGCCCGAUGCUAUGUGAGGCACUCUCGAAGAGUCGAGUUGUUUGGGAAUGCAGCUCAAAAUGGGUGGUAAAUUCCAUCUAAAGCUAAAUAUUGGCGAGAGACCGAUAGCGAACAAGUACCGUGAGGGAAAGAUGAAAAGCACUUUGGAAAGAGAGUUAAACAGUACGUGAAAUUGUUGAAAGGGAAACGCUUGAAGUCAGUCGCGUCCCGUGGAACUCAGCCUGGUUUCGACCUGGUGUACUUUCCAUGUGGACGGGUCAACAUCAAUUUCGGCCGGUGGACAAGGGCGAGGGGAAUGUAGCGUUGCUUCGGCGACGUGUUAUAGCCCCCCGUCGCAUACACUGGCUGGGAUUGAGGACCGCAGCACGCCCUUGUGGCCGGGGGGUUCGCCCCACGUAACGUGCUUAGGAUGUUGGCAUAAUGGCUUUAAGCGACCCGUCUUGAAACACGGACCAAGGAGUCUAACAUGCUUGCGAGUGUUCGGGUGGAAAACCCUUGCGCGUAAUGAAAGUGAAAGUUGGGAACCUCCGCGAGGGGGUGCACCGACGCCCGGCCCUGACGUUCUCUGACGGUGCCGCGGUAGAGCACGUAUGUUGGGACCCGAAAGAUGGUGAACUAUGCCUGAAUAGGGCGAAGCCAGAGGAAACUCUGGUGGAGGCUCGUAGCGAUUCUGACGUGCAAAUCGAUCGUCAAAUUUGGGUAUAGGGGCGAAAGACUAAUCGA